UACGGGGGGGGCAAGCGUUGUUCGGAAUUACUGGGCGUAAAGGGUUCGUAGGCGGCCAACUCAGUCAGACGUGAAAUCCCUCAGCUCAACUGGGGAACUGCGUCUGAUACUAGAUGGCUUGAGUGCAGGAGAGGAACGCGGAAUUCCAGGUGUAGCGGUGAAAUGCGUAGAUAUCUGGAGGAACACCGGUGGCGAAGGCGGCGUUCUGGACUGCAACUGACACUGAGGAACGAAAGCCAGGGGAGCAAACGGG
rnacentral:rRNA from 1 species